rnacentral:snRNA from 1 species
GGAUGUGAGGGCAAUCUGGCUGCGACAUCUGUCACCCCAUUGAUCGCCAGGGUUGAUUCGGCUGAUCUGGCUGGCUAGGCGGGUGUCCCCCUCCUCCCUCACCAAUCCAUGUGCAUUCCUCCUGAAGCUGUGCGCUCGGUCGAAGAGGACGACCUUCCCCUCCGAGGAGAGGACCGGUCUUUGGUCAAGGGUAUACGAGUAGCUGCGCUCCCCUGCUAGAACCUCCAAACAAGCUCUCAAGAUCUGAAGCAAAACCUUAACAGAAGUAAAAUUAUGGAGGAGCAGGAAAUUUUACUUAUAUAGAGUGCAUUUUUUUUGUUAUUUUCAGUGGAAAUGAGAUAGA